rnacentral:rRNA from 1 species
GUGAGGAAUUUUCCGCAAUGGGCGAAAGCCUGACGGAGCAAUGCCGCGUGAAGGAUGAAGGCCUAUGGGUUGUAAACUUCUUUUCUCAGAAAAGAAUUAUGACGGUAUCUGAGGAAUAAGCAUCGGCUAACUCUGUGCCAGCAGCCGCGGUAAGACAGAGGAUACAAGCGUUAUCCGGAAUGAUUGGGCGUAAAGCGUCUGUAGGUUGUUUAAAAAGUAUUCUGUCAAAGAUUAGGGCUUAACCCUAGAUAGGCAGAAUAAACUUUUAAGCUAGAGUUUGGUAGAGGCAGAGGGAAUUCCCGGUGGAGCGGUGAAAUGCGUAGAUAUCGGGAGGAACACCAAAGGCGAAGGCACUCUGCUGGGCCAAUACUAACACUGAGAGACGAAAGCGAGGGGAGCAAAUGGGAUUAGAUACCCUUGUAGUCC